rnacentral:sRNA from 1 species
GAGGCGUGUUCCUCUUCCUAUGUCUCCCUGACUGUAGGAGCGAUCUCUCUUUGAGUCGGCAUGGAAGAAGGAGAAGGACAUCGUUUCCAAGGAGAUAGAGAAGCUCCGCACGUCCAUCCAGACCCUGUGCAAGAGUGCACUUCCUCUGGGGAAGAUCAUGGACUACAUCCAGGAAGACGUGGAUGCCAUGCAGAAUGAGCUGCAGCUGUGGCACAGCGAGAACAGGCAGCACGCCGAGGCCCUGCAGCAGGAGCAGAGUAUCACAGACUGUGCCGUGGAGCCCUUAAAGGCUGAGCUCGCGGAGCUGGAGCAGCUGAUCAAAGACCAGCAAGACAAGAUCUGCGCUGUAAAGGCCAACAUCCUCAAGAAUGAAGAAAAAAUCCAGAAAAUGGUAUAUAGUAUCAAUUUGACUUCGAGAAGGUGAACACUCAAAAGUUUCGGAGAUGAAAAGUCACCUCAGUUUAAAAGCAAAAAGG